rnacentral:rRNA from 1 species
ACCCAAAGUCGCCUGACCUAACUGUAAAAGGAGGGGGCGCCUAAGGUAAAGGCGAUGACUGGAGUGAAGUCGUAACAAGGUAGCUGUAGGUGAACCUGCAGAAGGAUCA